rnacentral:tRNA from 1 species
GGGGCUUUAGCUCAGUUGGGAGAGCGAUUGGCUGGCAGCCAGUAGGUCAGGGGUUCGAGUCCCCUAAGCUCCACCA